CUUGCAGUUAAAACCGUAUAUUUAUUACAAUAUACACAUCAUCCGGUAACAACAAAAGUCUGGUUUAAAAUCAUAUGGACCAAUAGACAAUGUAUAUUCACUUCUAGAUCUUAUCCAAGCUUGAUGUUAAAAGGUAUUGGUCGUUGGUGUUACUAUGGGUAUUGGUGGAAUAUUCUAGCUGCAAAAGGUAUUUUAUACAUUUAAAAUUCAAUUACAUAGGGCGUAUACAUAAUGACAUAAGGUUUGCCUGCUUUACAAUAAUUGGUUAUCUAAGAAAAAAUAGGUGGUAACUUAGUAUUAUUCGAUAUCUAUGAUUAAAGCCAUACGUUAUGAUGUUUUGGUAAGUUACACACAAAGACCUUCUUGAGACUUCUAAUUACAU